GACGAACGCUGGCGGCGUGCUUAACACAUGCAAGUCGAACGGAAAGGCCCUGCUUGCAGGGUACUCGAGUGGCGAACGGGUGAGUAACACGUGGGUGAUCUGCCCUGCACUUCGGGAUAAGCCUGGGAAACUGGGUCUAAUACCGGAUAGGAGCCAUUCUUAGUGUGAUGGUUGGAAAGUUUUUUCGGUGUAGGAUGAGCUCGCGGCCUAUCAGCUUGUUGGUGGGGUAAUGGCCUACCAAGGCGGCGACGGGUAGCCGGCCUGAGAGGGUGGACGGCCACAUUGGGACUGAGAUACGGCCCAGACUCCUACGGGAGGCAGCAGUGGGGAAUAUUGCACAAUGGGCGCAAGCCUGAUGCAGCGACGCCGCGUGGGGGAUGACGGCCUUCGGGUUGUAAACUCCUUUCGCUAGGGACGAAGCUUUUUGUGACGGUACCUAGAUAAGAAGCACCGGCGAACUACGU
rnacentral:rRNA from 1 species